UGGGGAAUUUUCCGCAAUGGGCGAAAGCCUGGCGGAGCAAUGCCGCGUGGAGGUGGAAGGCCUACGGGUCGUCAACUUCUUUUCUCGGAGAAGAAACAAUGACGGUAUCUGAGGAAUAAGCAUCGGCUAACUCUGUGCUAG
rnacentral:rRNA from 1 species